UCGGAAUCGACUCGACGGCAGUGGGUUAUGGGGGAAGCCAGCCAGCUGGUCAAGCAGUCUAUGAACAGAUCUACACGGGAGCAGCCCCAGGCCAGCUUUCAGAUGACAGCAGCCCUGGCCAAAAUUGACUGAAACUUCAUGAAAGACCAGGAGCUAGAAUCACCCAGUCCAGAAGAUGAGAAGACUACUUGAUCAAUCAGCUGCCCUGCCCUGUGCCUCUCCUGAAGAACGAGCCCCUGGCCCAACCUGGAAUUCUAUCAUUUUCAAGAACACACAGUUCUUCAAAUCACACUUUGAACUCUGCUUUCUGAAUAAUGGCCUUUGAGCUAAUCUAAUCAUUAUUAUAGGCUAUAUCAUGCUAUGGUUUUUAACUCUUUCUGAAAGGGAAGGGAGCAUAGGGAGGUGCUGGACACCAUACAUACUUGAGGGCAUCUCAUGAGGAAACAUGAUUAAAAAUUUUUUGCCUAAGUCA